UAUAUUUAAAUUUUAAAUUUGUUGUUUUAUAUUUCGUUCUAUUUGUUAAAUGUAACUAUAAAAUAGAUUAUUUAAAGCUUUUUGAACUGUUAUGAAUAGUUUAAUUUUUUUACUAUAAUGUUGAAAUAUUUUAUUAUUGACGAAACAGUUGUCAAAUAUGUACCUAAAAAGUAUAGUAAGAUCAAUUUAACUAAUUUAAUAUAAAGUUAUUUAUAUAAAAAAUAAAUAAUAUGCUUUCAUUAAAAAUUAAUCCUUUAAGCUAAUUAAUUCAAAAAUUGUAAGAGUUAAGCUGAAUAUUAGCUUUAUUUAAGUAAUUUGUAUUUCAAAAAUAUUUAUAUAAAAUAGCAAAAAAAUAAAAAAAAUAAAAAAUUGUAAUAUUUAGUAUUUGUUUUUUAAUAAGUAAAGUUUUAAUAUAAAGUAUUAUUUUUAUUUAUAAAUUUUAAAAAUAUAUGUUUGUAGAUAAUAAAAUUAAAGAAUUUUAAAUGCGUUUAUUAAAUGCGCUUGCCUAAGUUAAAUAUUUAAGAUAAUUCUGGUAAAUAGAUUUUGAUAUUAGUAGUUCUAUACAUAAAAAUGUAUCCCAAUUAAAAUAAGUAAGUAGCAUAGUAAUUUAUUAACUAAUUAUUAAAGAGUUCCACAGAACAUUUUGAAGUUAUAGCAAACAAUGUAAAAAAUGAAUUAAAAUAAAAAUUUUAAUAAAAAUUAAAAUAUUAAAAUAGGGCAAGUCCUACUCUCCUUUACAAAGAGAACAUAAAUAUGUAAUUGUAUGUUUGAUUGGGGCAAUACUAUAUCUAAUUAUAUAGUAAAAGAACUAAAAUUAUUGAAAUAAUAAAAGGUUCGAGCAGGUUAACAAGCAUUAAAACUAAAUGUGUUUCAUCGUCUACUUAUCGAAAAAGUAUUGAUUGUUCAUCAAAAAAUCGAUUCGUUAGUUGGGUUAAAAUCGUUGUAAAGCAGAUUUGUUUAUAUAUUUAAUACUUAAAUAAAUUAAAAAAUUAAGUAUAGUACGCAAGGAUA
rnacentral:rRNA from 1 species